rnacentral:snRNA from 1 species
GCAAUGUGAUUUCUGCCCA